rnacentral:rRNA from 1 species
GUGUCGCCGCCGCGGUAAUACGGAGGGUGCGAGCGUUAAUCGGAAUUACUGGGCGUAAAGCGCAUGCAGGCGGCCUGUUAAGUCAGAUGUGAAAGCCCGGGGCUUAACCUCGGAAUUGCAUUUGAAACUGGCAGGCUAGAGUCUUGUAGAGGGGGGUAGAAUUUCAGGUGUAGCGGUGAAAUGCGUAGAGAUCUGAAGGAAUACCAGUGGCGAAGGCGGCCCCCUGGACAAAGACUGACGCUCAGAUGCGAAAGCGUGGGGAGCAAACAGGAUUAGAAACCCUAGUAGUCC